GAUGAACGCUGGCGGCGUGCCUAAUACAUGCAAGUCGAGCGAACAGACGAGGAGCUUGCUCCUCUGACGUUAUCGGCGGACGGGUGAGUAACACGUGGAUAACCUACCUAUUAGACUGGGAUAACUUCGUGAAACCGUAGCUAAUACCGGAUAAUAUAUUGAACCGCAUGUUUCAAUAGUGAAAGACGGUUUUGCUGUCACUUAUAGAUGGAUCCGCGCCGCAUUAGCUAGUUGGUAAGGUAACGGCUUACCAAGGCAACGAUGCGUAGCCGACCUGAGAGGGUGAUCGGCCACACUGGAACUGAGACACGGUCCAGACUCCUACGGGAGGAAGCAGUAGGGAAUCUUCCGCAAUGGGCGAAAGCCUGACGGAGCAACGCAGAGUGAGUGAUGAAGGUCUUCGGAUCGUAAAACUCUGUUAUUAGGGAAGAACAAAUGUGUAAGUAACUAUGCACGUCUUGACGGUACCUAAUCAGAAAGCAACGGCUAACUACGUG
rnacentral:rRNA from 1 species